UACGAAGGGGGCUAGCGUUGCUCGGAAUUACUGGGCGUAAAGCGCACGCAGGCGGUCUGCUAAGUUUGGAGUGACAGUUGGUGGCUUAACUGCCAAAGUGCUUCGAAAACUGACAGACUUGAGGGCUUCAGAGGGACACGGAAUUCCGGGUGGAGUGGUGAAAUGCGUAGAGAUCCGGAGGAACACCAAAGGCGAAGGCAGUGUCCUGGGGAGUACCUGACGCUCAGGUGCGAAAGCCAGGGGAGCGAACGGG
rnacentral:rRNA from 1 species